GACGAACGCUGGCGGCGUGCUUAACACAUGCAAGUCGAACGAAGAGCGAUGGAAGCUUGCUUCUCUCAAUCUUAGUGGCGCACGGGUGAGUAACGCGUAAUCAACCUGCCCUUCAGAGGGGGACAACAGUUGGAAACGACUGCUAAUACCGCAUACGAUCUAACCUCGGCAUCGAGGAUAGAUGAAAGGUGGCCUCUACAUGUAAGCUAUCACUGAAGGAGGGGAUUGCGUCUGAUUAGCUAGUUGGAGGGGUAACGGCCCACCAAGGCGAUGAUCAGUAGCCGGUCUGAGAGGAUGAACGGCCACAUUGGGACUGAGACACGGCCCAGACUCCUACGGGAGGCAGCAGUGGGGAAUCUUCCGCAAUGGACGAAAGUCUGACGGAGCAACGCCGCGUGAGGGAUGACGGCCUUCGGGUUGUAAAGCUCUGUUAAUCGGGACGAAAGGCCUUCUUGCGAAUAGUGAGAAGGAUUGACGGUACCGGAAUAGAAAGCCACGGCUAACUACGUG
rnacentral:rRNA from 1 species